ACGCUCGACACCUACGUGAGGCAGCAGUGGGGAAUAUUGCACAAUGGGGGAAACCCUGAUGCAGCGACGCCGCGUGAAGGAAGAAGUAUUUCGGUAUGUAAACUUCUAUCAGCAGGGAAGAAAAUGACGGUACCUGACUAAGAAGCCCCGGCUAACUACGUGUCAGCAGCCGCGGUAAUCUGAGCGGGCUGGCAAGGC
rnacentral:rRNA from 1 species